rnacentral:misc_RNA from 1 species
UGGCUCUCGCAUCGAUGAAGAACGCAGCGAAAUGCGAUAAGUAAUGUGAAUUGCAGAAUUCAGUGAAUCAUCGAAUCUUUGAACGCACCUUGCGCCCUUUGGUAUUCCGAAGGGCAUGCCCGUUCGAGUGUCUUGAUAUCAUCACUCUCCCUGGUUUUUCUUGCCAUGGGAGAAGUGGACUUUGGAGGUUCUUUGCUGCUCGAACAACGGCGGCUCCUCUUGAAUGCAUCGGCUGUGCUCUGAUAUGCAGCUCCUUGACGUUGUAAUCUUCCUCGUCUUGGGCCGCUUCCGGACCAGUCUCGGCUUGCCUGCAGAGUGGUGGCCAAUUUGAAACGAAUCUGACCUCGAAUCGGGUAGGAUUACCCGCUGA